rnacentral:rRNA from 1 species
UACGAAGGGGGCUAGCGUUGUUCGGAAUUACUGGGCGUAAAGCGCACGUAGGCGGAUAUUUAAGUCAGGGGUGAAAUCCCGGGGCUCAACCCCGGAACUGCCUUUGAUACUGGGUAUCUAGAGUCCGGAAGAGGUGAGUGGAAUUCCGAGUGUAGAGGUGAAAUUCGUAGAUAUCAGGAGGAACACCGGUGGCGAAGGCGGCUAUCUGGACAGAGUCUGACGCUGAGGCGCGAAAGCUAGGGGAGCAAACAGG